rnacentral:RNase_P_RNA from 1 species
GGUAGCGGGUGGAUGGCUGCGUCCCGAGCCCGAAAGGGCGAGGGAUGAGGAAAGUCCGCCCACCUAUCGAAACCAGCGCCAGAAAUGGUGCCCGGGGGAACAGAAACGAGACCUGGCCGAAAGGCUGGGAUGAAACGCGCUCCCGGUUGGGUGCAACCCGAAAGGGGCUCAGGCGAAUGCCAUCUAAAACAGAAGGCGGCUUACGGCCCGCUGCC